AAAUGCACGCAAACAGAAGUCUGCAAAGAAGGAACAGAAGUCUACAGAAAAAAAACUCUGGUGCUGACAGGGAGGAAGAUGUUCCCAUAGUAACGACAAGGAAAAAGGCUAAAGUGGAGAAGCCGACCAAGGGACUUGUGAAGGUACCCAAACCAACAGGAGGAAAGGUAUAAAAUAAAAAAUGACCAAGAAGGCUGCAAAAAUACCCUAACAAAAUAUGAAAAGUACCUAAAUCUUAAUGUCUGUUUGUCAACUCAGUGGAACACAACUCUCCUUUCUCUCCUCAUUACUAUCUGUGUAUUACUCCCCCUUUCUCUAAAUGGAACUCUGACUUCAUACUGAUAUAAAGGACUGGUUCUAAAUGUAUAUAAACUGUCAGCGUUAAUUGAUCCAAGGACAAACUCAAAUGUGUUGCAAAUCUUUGUCUGCCCCAUAAAAGGGUCUUGUUCAAAAUCAUAUUUUGUAUAAACCCAACUUGUAAAUUAAAAUAUUACCACAAAGUAUA